rnacentral:rRNA from 1 species
GACGAACGCUGGCGGCGUGCUUAACACAUGCAAGUCGAACGAGUGGCGAACGGGUGAGUAAUACGUGAGUAACCUGCCCUCUGUUUGGGAUAAGCCUUGGAAACGGGGUCUAAUACCGGAUAACGGGGGAUGGGCUCGCGGCCGAUCAGCUGGUUGGUGGGGUGAUGGCCUACCAAGGCGGCGACGGGUAGCCGGCCUGAGAGGGUGACCGGCCACAUUGGGACUGAGAGACGGCUCAGAGUCGUACGGGAGGCAGCAGUGGGGGAAAGGGCACAAGGGGCGACGGCCUGAUGCGGCGACGCGACGUGGGGGAUGAGGGCGUUCGGGUUGGAAAUCUCGUUCGCUAUCGAAUGGGUAGGUGGAGAAGAAGCGCCGGCUAACUACGUGCCAGCAGCCGCGGUAAUAC